CCUGAUUAGUGUAACGGGACAACAAUUCGACGAUUCCCGUUGAUAUUCGGAGUUGGACGUUGCACAUUUUUGCUUAAAUCGGUGCCACGCAAUCCGUAGAAGCUGGUGAAACCAAGCUGCAACUUCAAAAGCUCAUUCACCCGGCCAGGCCAAGAGGAUUUUUUUCUUCAAUGUGGCUCCGACGUUCGCACGGUGGGUGCAAGAACAAACAUCAUCAAUUAGUACUAUCAGCAACGAUGAAGCACCCAACAUUGAUAGCUACAUUUUGGUUACCGAUAACUGCCAGCCUUUCGUGCAACUUCUUGCGAUGCGUUCAGUUAGGCAACCGAUCUAUGGAAACAGUGUCCCGGGAAAAUCAUUCAAGAACGGCGCGAUCGCAACAUCUGAGGGACCGUCGCACGGGGCUACUUGGGACUGGACGCUUAGGUGUUAAACGUAAGGACUUCACUACCACAAUCAGGUCAGGGUACCAGGUUCGAUAGCGCUUCCAAGGACUCUGUAGGAUAGCGGGA